rnacentral:rRNA from 1 species
AUGAGGCGGCCUCCAAGAUGGAGGACCGCCAAGCCCAAUGAAUCUUCUAAGUUGAAACUGUCGGGGAGGGGGAAUACCUAGAUAGCUUGAGAGUUGGCGACAAUCGCACAGUCGCAUUCCCCUAUUUUUGUGUUCUUGUGCGAAACUAGGCAGAAGGACAGAAAGAUGAAGAGAAUAAGGAAUCGUUUGGGUUUGAAGGGUUUUGUUGGAGUGGAUAGUGUGGGCUUAAGUGGUGGUCUGGCUCUUUAUUGGCAUGAAUCUUCUGAUGUUAUGGUCCUGGACAAAGAAGAGAGAUACAUUGAUGUGUUGGUGCGGAGCGGAAGCGCUGGAUGGUGGCGUUUCGAGACACGUUGGAAAUAUGCAAUCUAG